GUACUCACCUGACAGGGGGGACACCGUGAUCAAGGUGGUAGUUUUCCAAGGAGGAGUUUCAUCCACUGUACUCCAGUGUGAUGACCCUUGUUAUUUCCUCAAAUGCAGAAAAGUCAACUGUACAAUUUUUUUGGUGGUGGGUGACUGUGUUUGCACUCUUCCCUG
ensembl:snRNA U1 U1 spliceosomal RNA